AGCGAACGCUGGCGGCAGGCCUAACACAUGCAAGUCGAACGAACUCUUCGGAGUUAGUGGCGGACGGGUGAGUAACACGUGGGAACGUGCCUUUUGGUUCGGAAUAACUCAGGGAAACUUGUGCUAAUACCGAAUGUGCCCUUCGGGGGAAAGAUUUAUCGCCAUUAGAGCGGCCCGCGUCUGAUUAGCUAGUUGGUGAGGUAACGGCUCACCAAGGCGACGAUCAGUAGCUGGUCUGAGAGGAUGACCAGCCACACUGGGACUGAGACACGGCCCAGACUCCUACGGGAGGCAGCAGUGGGGAAUCUUGCGCAAUGGGCGAAAGCCUGACGCAGCCAUGCCGCGUGAAUGAUGAAGGUCUUAGGAUUGUAAAAUUCUUUCACCGGGGACGAUAAUGACGGUACCCGGAGAAGAAGCCCCGGCUAUCUUCGUG
rnacentral:rRNA from 1 species